rnacentral:rRNA from 1 species
UACGGAGGGUGCAAGCGCUGUCCGGAAUCACUGGGCGUAAAGGGCGCGUAGGCGGCCUGGUAAGUAGGGGGUGAAAUCCUGCGGCUUAACCGCAGGGCUGCCUUCUAAACUGUCAGGCUUGAGCACGGUAGAGGCAGAUGGAAUUCCCGGUGUAGCGGUGGAAUGCGUAGAGAUCGGGAAGAACAUCAGUGGCGAAGGCGGUCUGCUGGGCCGUUGCUGACGCUGAGGCGCGACAGCGUGGGGAGCAAACAGG